rnacentral:rRNA from 1 species
CAGCAGCCGCGGUGAUACGUAGGGUGCGAGCGUUGUCCGGAAUUAUUGGGCGUAAAGAGCUUGUAGGCGGUCUGUCGCGUCGAAAGUGAAAACUCAGGGCUCAACCCUGAGCCUGCUCUCGAUACGGGCAGACUAGAGGAAGGUAGGGGAGAACGGAAUUCUUGGUGGAGCGGUGGAAUGCGCAGAUAUCAGGAAGAACACCGGUGGCGAAGGCGGUUCUCUGGACCUUUCCUGACGCUGAGAAGCGAAAGCGUGGGGAGCAAACAGGCUUAGAUACCCUGGUAGUCCACGCCGUAAACGGUGGGUACUAGGUGUGGGGGACAUUCCACGUUCUCCGUGCCGCAGCUAACGCAUUAAGUACCCCGCCUGGGGAGUACGGCCGCAAGGCUAAAACUCAAAGGAAUUGACGGGGCCCCGCACAAGCGGCGGAGCAUGCGGAUUAAUUCGAUGCAACGCGAAGAACCUUACCUGGGUUUGACAUAUACCGGAAACGUCUAGAGAUAGGCGCCCCCUUGUGGUCGGUAUACAGGAGGUGCAUGGCC